rnacentral:tRNA from 2 species
GCUUCGUUAGCUCAGUUGGCAGAGCGUCAGUCUCAUAAUCUGAAGGUCGUGAGUUCGAGCCUCACACGGAGCA